rnacentral:rRNA from 1 species
AAGGCAUCUAAGCGGGAAACCGCCCCCGAGAUGAGAUAUCUCAUACCUAAAGGUAGUAAGGCGCCCCCGAGACGAGGGGUUCGAUAGGCCGGGAAUGUAAGCGCAGCGAUGCGUUGAGUUGACCGGUACUAAAGCGCCGAGGCCUUAACCUG